AUACGGAGGAUGCGAGCGUUAUCCGGAUUUAUUGGGUUUAAAGGGAGCGUAGGUGGGAUAUUAAGUCAGCUGUGAAAGUUUGGGGCUCAACCUUAAAAUUGCAGUUGAUACUGGUUUCCUUGAGUACGGUACAGGUGGGCGGAAUUCGUGGUGUAGCGGUGAAAUGCUUAGAUAUCACGAAGAACUCCGAUCGCGAAGGCAGCUCACCGGGCCGGAACUGACACUGAGGCUCGAAAGGGCGGGUAACAAACAGGAUUAGAUGCCCUGGUAGUCCGCACAGUAAACGAUGAAUACUCGCUGUUGGCGAUACACGGUAAGCGGCCAAGCGAAAGCGUUAAGUAUUCCACCUGGGGAGUACGCCGGCACCGGUGAAACUCAAAUGAAUUGACGGGG
rnacentral:rRNA from 1 species